rnacentral:rRNA from 1 species
GACGGAGGGGGCUAGCGUUGUUCGGAAUUACUGGGCGUAAAGCGUGCGCAGGCGGUUGUGAAAGUUAGAAGUGAAAGCCCAGGGCUUAACCCUGGAAUAGCUUUUAAAACUCCACAACUAGAGUACUGGAGAGGUUAGCGGAAUUCCGAGUGUAGAGGUGAAAUUCGCAGAUAUUCGGAGGAACACCAAUGGCGUAGGCAGCUAACUGGACAGUAACUGACGCUCAGGCACGAAAGCGUGGGGAUCAAACAGG